rnacentral:rRNA from 1 species
GGGUUGUGAGGUUAAGCGACUAAGCGUACACGGUGGAUGCCCUGGCAGUCAGAGGCGAUGAAGGGCGUGCUAAUCUGCGAUAAGCGCCGGUAAGGUGAUAUGAACCGUUAUAACCGGCGAUACCCGAAUGGGGAAACCCAGUGUGAUUCGUCACACUAUCAUUAACUGAAUCCAUAGGUUAAUGAGGCGAACCGGGGGAACUGAAACAUCUAAGUACCCCGAGGAAAAGAAAUCAACCGAGAUUCCCCCAGUAGCGGCGAGCGAACGGGGAGGAGCCCAGAGCCUGAAUCAGCAUGUGUGUUAGUGGAAGCGUCUGGAAAGGCGCGCGAUACAGGGUGACAGCCCCGUACACAAAAGCGCAUGUGCUGUGAGCUCGAUGAGUAGGGCGGGACACGUGGUAUCCUGUCUGAAUAUGGGGGGACCAUCCUCCAA